GGCACUUUGGUCACAGUGAUGAAAAGUUGACUAACUCUAGUGCCAGUAUGAUGUGACAGAGACCAUGUAACUGGAUUGACGGGCGAUGACUUGGGCACUCUCCCUCUUUCUCCCCUCUGAGAUCUCCACCAAAACGGAGUGAUGCCGUUUCAGCCCUGCAGACUGGGACAUCUCUGUAGGACAGGGAAGAACCACGGGUCGAAAGAAUGUGGGUCCCCAAGCAGCUUCCUGGAGCCACCCCACAGCUCGGGCUGCUUCCUUCCAGACCAUUAUGUGAGAGAAACAAAAGGCUCUUUCUUCAGGCCACAGUAUUUCCAGUCCUCUCGCUCCUCACUUUGCCGGUGGCUUCAAUAACAAGCAUAAUGCGAAGCUGACAUUCUUGUAGGGGCUCCGGGCCCCACCAAGAGUGUGGGAAUGUGGUCCUCGUUGGAGCAGCACUCCAGCCAGCCUGGGAGGCUUGCCUUCCUCGUCCCAGCAACGUCUGAGAAGCCGGAGUUCCUCCGCUCACUGUGCCGCCUUCUCCCGAGAACCUUCAGCUUCCCCUGGGCAGGAACCGACGCCCUGGGCUGUGCUGCAUGAGGCUGGCUGCAGUGUGUCUGAACAACACGAGGCCAUCUGUGCAGCCUAGAAACAAAAACAUCAAAGCCAGCCUCUGAAGAGCCCCCCCCUUCCUUCAUUCCUAAGGGAACAUUCUGGAAGACCCUGGACACCCUCAUCAUUGGACUAGGCUCCUCAGGCUUUUCUCUGUGGCUUGAGAGCCCUUGAGUGCUGAAUCUGUGGGCUUGUGUGGUGGUUCAGCAGCCUGCAGAGGAAGGGAAGCCACCGUCCCACCUCUCUGGAGACCUUGCUCCGAUCCGGUGUUCCUGCAUCAGGCUCCUGCCCUCACACCACCCUGGUGAGCACCCCCAGCCCCCUACUGCCUGCUGCUGCCCACCUGAGUCAGCCCCUUCCUGAAUGCUCACCAUCACCUACAUCAUCUACACCAUCACUAUCUACACCCGUCACCUCUAGGAGCAGGAAUUUUGUCUGCGAGGUUUUGUCUCUGUGAGUUACUUCACUCAAGGAAGCAAUGAGUGUGGACGCCAGAUGAUGUGAAAGGGGGGCGGCGUCUACAGGAGCAUUCGCACACACAUGUGGUGUAUCUGGAGGACACCCCAGGUUUACCCACGCCAGUCACGCCCAACUCCCAAGUGCACAAACAUCCCAAUUUCUCACUGAAUGGAUCUUUGCCACCAGAGUUGAGUUCCAGGGAUUUUUGACCUUGGUUGUCAUUGUUGGGAUUUAAGCUCUUCCUGGGUGGGGUGACUCGCAGGAGCGUGGCGGGGGAGAGAGUGAGACAUCUGUGAGAGGGUGACACAGCCAUGCUGGCCCUGCUCCUGGAGUGAAAUGUGGCCGCUGGCCCAGCACACAGGUCACACAGGCCUCCGUGGCUGCGUGGCAGGAACGCAGUCUGUCUCCCUGGUCAGCCCAAGUGCAGAGCAGGACAGCUGAGAUGGCCCGGCUCCAGGUGCAGGUGCCAGGACCCUGUUCUCCCAUAAGCUUCUGCGUGGUCCUGCUAAUUGGCCCUGGUCUAAUUGCUGCCAAGUCCCACUGCAGAAGGCCCAUUAGACACCACAGCUAAUCCCCCAGCUGUGGGCGAAUUCUAACCGCAUCUGAUGCUAUCUCUCUGAGUCACCUGCUUGCCAUUAUUCCCAGUGGGAUGUGGGCCACAGUGGUUUCUGGAGUCGAAGAAGACUGAACCUGUCUCCAUGGACAUGUCCUAGGCCUCUCACAGACAAGCUCUAUCGUCAGCAGAGCCCCGGCCGGCCAGCUCUGCCUUCCUGAUGUGGAACCACUGGGUGUGGGGGAGGCCAGCCAGGCCUGCAGGGACAGAGUGGGCACCAAGCCUGCAGUGGGCACGCCUUGCCUUCUGGACUGUCAGCCUUGUGUCCUGUGGGUCUGGGUCCUCAGCCUCUGUCUUCAAGAGGGAGGGGACAUGAGCUCUCUCCAGCAGCCGCCCUUCCUGCCUGCACCUCCCACUACGCUUGCCUGUCUCUGCCACCCAUGGCCUCUCCCUGUCACCCUGCAGUGGCUUCUGCCAGACUCAGAUUCCUUCUUGCUCUGACUCUAGGAUGUCAAAUGCCCCUGACUCUGAAACUCAGGACCUGGAAGCUGCCACCCUGCAGUGGGGUAACGAGGAGGGACUUGGGUGCACACAACCCGGCCACAGAGACUCAAGAGAGGGGGACAUCAACACUGAAAGAGGGCAGUGGCCGGCAAGACGGGCCUAUCCCCCAGAAAGCACUGGCUGGGCUUGGGGCACCAGCUCAUCCCUGACUGUGAGCCCCUCUCAUCCCUGGCCCAGGAGCAGCGGGGAAUCCUGGAGCUCAUCCUCUGUAAACUGACCCUCAACUGCCGUCCUAAAUUUAGAACACACGUGGGCUUUCCGCUCCAGCAGUGUGGCCUGGUCCUUACUCUGCUGCUUUGAUGCCUCUGGAGGAAUUUGCUAUUUAAGGACAUCCUAUGAUUAAUCACUUCAUAAAGCAAAAGCCAUCUCCGCUGUUCUGUUGGGAAUAGCUGUUUUCACAGGGAAUAAAACGAAGCUGACCGAGGUCCUGCAGCCCCAGAGUGGCCCCGAUGGAAUUUGACUUCGCCAUCUACUCGGAGCUGACGCAGCCGGCGGAAGGGCUGGCAGCACAGUGUGUGCUGCGGGGUGGAUGGAGCUCCGGGCCACUGCAGUUUUCAGCGGAAACAACAUCUUUGUUUGUAUGUGGUGCUGAGGAUCGAACCCGGACUGUACGCAUGCCAGGUCUCGCUAAGUUGCCCAGUCUGGACUUGAAUUUGCAACUUUCAGCUUCGGCUUCAGCAUCCAGAGUAGCUGGGAUCAGGGUCUGCACCACUAUGCCAAACAUGUUACUUUAUUUGUAAAUUAUACUCAUGCAUUAUUGUUCUGACCCAUUAUGCAUUUAUAAAACUUGCACAAAAAUGGAACUAGGCAGACUUACUAUACGGUUAGCAACAUUUUGAAAUGAUUUUAAUUUUUGUUCUCAAUAUGGGUACAAAAGCUUUUCUCUCAAAUAUGUCAAUGAUCAAAUUUUGUUGGUGAAAAUAAUGCAAUUGGGUAUGGUUCAUUCUUCUUUUUAAAAUAAUCCUGCUGUAAUAAUAGGCUUAGUGAGCUGAGGUUGCUUAUUUAUAUAUUUGUAUGUAAGUUGCUUAUUUUAAUAUUUGGACUUGAUGAGCAUCGUAGCUGAAGAAUACACAGCCCAAUAUGGGAGCCAGAAGGCAGAGGGCUCUCUUGUUCACCCACAGAAAAUUAUCUUUCUCUUUUAAAUUCACCAGUUAUGCAAAGAUUUUUGUUUGUUUUCAAAAUAUGAUGAAUAACUUUCCAUUAUUUGUGCUGUCAACCUGCUACUUUUGCAAAGUAUUUUUAAUAAUGUCUUCAAAAUCCACCACUUCUCUCGCUGGGAUGAUUUCUAGAUUAGAGACUCUGUUCCAAGUUUGUUGUUGUUGUUUAAAGUGUGCAGAUAUGAAAGAGUUUUUAAUUGACACAUUAUUAGCUGCUCACUCCCUUAAAAUCCCAUGCAACAAUGUAACAUUUCCUAACAGGUUUUUCAAAAUGGUCCAUUGCAUAAGAUAAAGCAGUUACUUUCUUAGGAUGAUGAACAUGUCACUUUUUCCUGAAGUGUCAGAAUGUGCGUGUAUGUGUGUGUGUGUGUGUACACAAGUGCGCACAUACGUACGUACGUUUAUGCUCACGCUUUUAAGAAUGUGCUGGGGAGCCAACAGCUGUGCCAAGAACCACUUGCUGUGGACAAAGGGCCAGCAGAUUUGGGACACUCGUUCUAGGUCUAUUUGUUUAAGCUCAAUGGGUCUUUUAAAUGUCUGUCACAUGAUCCACUGAAUUUCUGGAACAAAAGACUUUCUUCAUUCCUGGCAAAACAUUGAAAAGACCCUUGUCUGUUUAAAUGUCCAGUUUUUUGUUGCGUUGUUUGCUUUUUAAUCAAGCCAACCACUUCCUGUGGGCUGCACUUCCGGCUCAUCCUUUCCCUGCUUUGGGGGUGCAGGUAGUGAACUCCCAGUCUGAACUACCUUGGUAGUCCAAUCCUGAACUCCUUUUUUUUUUUUUUUUUUAAUUCCAAGUCAAAUGUAGCUCCAGCAGUUUUUCAAUAACACAUUGUUUUACCUGAAGAGAUCAUUUACAGAAGAGAAAGAACUCCUCUGGUUGUCAUUCCUUAGUGGCUCAUAAGAAAAGCAGUUCUUCAUGGACUUCAACCUUGAUACCUGACCUUUUUGGACACAGUAACAGCAUCUGUAGUUUUAUCCAGUCGAGCAAACUUCCCACUGAAAAUUUCUAAUGAACAGCCAAAUGUUCGUGAGUAUUUUCUGGGCAUUUCCAGCAGUAUUUGUUGACAAAGGAGUGCAUUUUGGUGUCUUACCAUCUCGUAUUCCAUUAUUUACUCCAUAUAAGCAUUUGCCCACUGAUACUGCCUCUUAGACACUUUUUGUUGUUGUUGAAAAAAAAAAAAAAACCCUCAAAAGGAGUUCCCAAACAUUUUCCACUAAGUUGUUGAGAGUUCGUAAAGCCUGGGGCUGGGGUGGAGCUGGGGUACAGUGCUUGCCCACCAUGCACAAGACGAUUCCCAGCACUACAAAAAAAAAAAAAAAAAAAAAAAAAGUUUUGUCAAGAACUGAAUUGACAGUGAUCAGUGAUCACCACCUGUUAUGGUUUCGAUAUGAGCUGUCCCCCUGCAAAAGCUCCUGUGUGUGACAAUGCAAGAACGUUUAGAGGUGAAAUGAUGAUCGGUCAUGAGACCCUCGACCCAACCAGUGCAAUAAUCCAGUCAAAUGGACACCUGGGUGGUAUCGUAGGCAGGUGGGGUGUGGCUAGAGGAGUCAUGGGGGGCCUUGGGGUAUAUAUUUUGUCCCUGGUGAGUGAAGCUUAGUCUCCCUCUGCUUCCCAGUGCUAUGUCCUCAGCUGCUUCCCUCCACCACACUCCUCCACCACGACGUUCUGCCUCAUCUUGGGCCCCGAGGAAUGGAGCCGGCCGCCUAUGGACUGAGACCUCUGAAACCCUGAGAGCCAAAUAAAGUCUCCUCCUCUAAAAUUGUUCUUGUCAGGACCCUGGGUUACAGCAGCAGAAAGAGCUGAGUAAUACACCACCCCAAGAAAUGGAAAUGGGUUGAGGGGAGGAGAGUGCGAGAGGGAGCUCUUACAGGGGAGAGGGCCUCUCUCCGUCUGUGGAGAGACGGCCUUUACUUGUCAGCUCUGACAAAUAAAAUAAAAAAAUAAAGGGCAGAGGGUCCCUGGGAUGAAGUUUUUUGACAAUCAGGGGUCACUGUGAGGGCACAGAGACGAUGAUUAUUGAACAUGUCCUAUGUCCAAAUAUUGUGCUAACUCUGGGGACAAACCUAUGAAAUAAAUGCUGCCCCUUAUUUACUUAAAAGAAAGAAAGAAAGAAAGAAAAAGAAAAGAAAAGAAGAACUGGUUUGAGGACACUUUAAACACCACGCUCAGGGCUGAGGCUGGUCCUGGGUUCUGGGUGCUUAGUUCCAGUGUGUUGCUGAGGGAAGUGGCCUCCUGCAGUCUUGAGCUACCCCGACGCAGAGCAGAGAGGGAGGCUGCUUCGUAGCAAUUGCACUACAUACAAACCCACCUUGCGAUGGAAACGCCUGGCUUGUCCUACCCGAUGAGAUCCCCGUUGUGCUUGCCUGUGUUUGCCAGCUCCGUCAGCUAGUGUGUGGUGGGUUUCCCCACCAACAACCAGUUCUCCAACACCAACUUGAUGAUCAGCAAUUUAAUUCAGUUCUGAUACUGUCUGCCUGGAGUUGGGUCAGACUCCCAAAUUAUGAGACUUCUCCCAAUUUAGAUGCCAGCCACCAACGGGGUCCCCAGGGCACCCACAUUUCUGCCCAGCUGACGAUAAAUUCACGAGCUCACACCCACCCUUCAGGUUUGAUAGGGUAACUCUCCAGAAGACUCAGAACUCAGGAAAGGGGCUGCUUCUGGUCAAAGUUAUUACAAAGGAGACACAUGAAAAGCCAGAUG